rnacentral:rRNA from 1 species
UGCGGAGGGGACUAGCGUUGUUCGGAAUUACUGGGCGUAAAGCGCACGUAGGCGGAUUUGUAAGUCAGGGGUGAAAUCCCGAGGCUCAACCUCGGAACUGCCUUUGAUACUGCAAAUCUCGAGUCCGGAAGAGGUGAGUGGAAUUCCUAGUGUAGAGGUGAAAUUCGUAGAUAUUAGGAAGAACACCAGUGGCGAAGGCGGCUCACUGGUCCGGUACUGACGCUGAGGUGCGAAAGCGUGGGGAGCAAACAGG